GCGGGUAUGGUUUAGUGGUAAAAUGCGUCCUUCCCAAGGAUGAGUCACGGGUUCGAUUCCCGUUACCCGCUCCA
rnacentral:tRNA from 1 species